rnacentral:rRNA from 1 species
UACGGAGGGUGCAAGCGUUAUCCGGAUUCACUGGGUUUAAAGGGUGCGUAGGUGGGCUAGUAAGUCCGUGGUGAAAUCCCCGAGCUUAACUCGGGAACUGCCGUGGAUACUAUUAGUCUUGAAUAUCGUGGAGGUAAGCGGAAUAUGUCAUGUAGCGGUGAAAUGCUUAGAUAUGACAUAGAACACCGAUAGCGGAGGCAGCUUGCUACACGGUAAUUGACACUCAGGCACGAAAGCGUGGGGAGCAAACAGG